AGCUCCGUGGUGAGUUCACAUUAGAUUGCAAAUCUAAAGACGCGGAUUGACGUCCGCCGGGGCUU
rnacentral:tRNA from 4 species